CUGAAGCUCUGCCUGAUGCGUCACACUGUCGACUGCCACUUUCUUCCCAGGAAGACCUUCAGAAUCUGGAGGUCCUCUUGAAGAACCCCGAAGAGAAAAGAAAUUUGACAGUACAUCUGGGAAUUGUGGGGGGAUUGACUGUGAAGGAGACCGUUUGGCGCAUAAUGAAGAGGACAGUAACCACAUCUCUGGCGAAAGGACUGAACUGGAGUGGCGCGAAUGGCAAGCCAGCAUUCAAAAACUUGGCUUUGAAGCUUGUUGUUCUGGAUGCUGUCAGAAGAAAUGUGUUGACAAAAGAUGCUUCAGACAAACAAAUUGAACAGUUGAUCACCCGCUGGCUCCAGCUAGCAGCGGACAGAGAUGGAGGAAGGAGUCAAAGGGGUCGUCAGGCUUCCUAAAGGCAUCGUGUUGGUUACACAUUUUUAGUGCGCGUGUGUGUGGUGGUUUGUGUGUGUG